rnacentral:tRNA from 1 species
CAAAAAGUAGUCUAUAAAGGAUAUAAUGUUUGGGGUAUUAAGGAAAGUUUUUGA